rnacentral:tRNA from 1 species
GGAGUUGUGGCUCAGCGAUAGAGCGUACACCUCAUAUGUGCAAGGUGCUGGGUUCAAUCCUCAGCACCA